CACGCAUAGUGAUAGGUGGUGUGCUCUACUAAAUUACUCAUGAAGGUGGUGAUUCCACACACAUAAUGACUUCAGUAUGCUAAAUACCGUCAGUCAGGUUAACACAAGUCUCCUUAUACACAAACUUGUAAGAUUCCAUUUCCUAUGGUCUGACAGACAUGGUGCCAAGUAGCCCUCCACGUAUAAGAGACUUGUGUUCUUGAUAUAUGACUAUGAUCUUUCCAAUGAAACAAUAUUUGAUGAGUCUCCCCCUGGAAAGACUGACAAUAGGUACUUUCAUUUUAACAUUGACGAUUGAAAUAUUUCAAAGACUCAUUCAAUUUACCUCUACAAUGGGCAGACAUGGACGAAUUUCUGGUAGCUUAUGGCUUUCAAUAUGAUUUUCUCACUAGAUUGGCAAUGAUCUUUCUUCAAUGACUCCCCAUGGAAGACAACAGCCAAGUUACAUGCCCUCAACUCUUUCAUUGGUAAUUUUCAACACCCAAGGUCAACUCCCCUUGGACGAUCACAAUAGUUCUACUCAUGGACAAUCAUAAGAAUCUUU